rnacentral:rRNA from 1 species
GACAGAGGGUGCAAACGUUGUUCGGAAUUACUGGGCGUAAAGCGUGUGUAGGCGGCUUUGCAAGUCGGAUGUGAAAGCCCCGGGCUCAACCCGGGAAGUGCACUCGAUACUGCAGAGCUUGAGUGUGGGAGAGGUUGGUGGAAUUCUCGGUGUAGAGGUGAAAUUCGUAGAUAUCGAGAGGAACACCGGCGGCGAAGGCGGCCAACUGGACCACUACUGACGCUGAGACACGAAAGCGUGGGGAGCAAACAGGAUUAGAUACCCUGGUAGUCCACGCCGUAAACGAUGGGUGCUAGGUGUCGCGAGCUUUGACUCUCGCGGUGCCGUAGCUAACGCGUUAAGCACCCCGCCUGGGAAGUACGGCCGCAAGGCUAAA